AAUGCCUAGGAAUCUGCCUGGUAGUGGGGGACAACGUUUCGAAAGGAACGCUAAUACCGCAUACGUCCUACGGGAGAAAGCAGGGGACCUUCGGGCCUUGCGCUAUCAGAUGAGCCUAGGUCGGAUUAGCUAGUUGGUGAGGUAAUGGCUCACCAAGGCGACGAUCCGUAACUGGUCUGAGAGGAUGAUCAGUCACACUGGAACUGAGACACGGUCCAGACUCCUACGGGAGGCAGCAGUGGGGAAUAUUGGACAAUGGGCGAAAGCCUGAUCCAGCCAUGCCGCGUGUGUGAAGAAGGUCUUCGGAUUGUAAAGCACUUUAAGUUGGGAGGAAGGGCAUUAACCUAAUACGUUAGUGUUUUGACGUUACCGACAGAAUAAGCACCGGCUAACUCUGUGCCAGCAGCCGCGGUAAUACAGAGGGAGCAAGCGUUUAUCGGAAUUACUGGGCGUAAAGCGCGUGUAGGUGGUUCUUUUAGUUGAAUGUGAAAUCCCCGGGCUCAACCUGGGAAUUUCAUCCUAAACUGGCGAGCUAUAGUUUUGGUGAUGGUGGUGUA
rnacentral:rRNA from 1 species